rnacentral:lncRNA from 12 species
UGCUCCACCACGCUCCUUGCACAAUGGGACGCGACUCGUAGGCUCUAGGCUCUAGGCUGCUUGCAUGUUGGGUUUGAACUCCAGGGCAGGGCCUCAGAGUUCCCCUUACUGCGUUAUUCCUAAUUAAACGUCCACCACUUGCACCUGCAGUUAAACCUCUCACCUCCAAACAGCCAUCCCCCUCUUUCCUGCACUGGACCCUUGAGUUCUUACCUGGGAUGCAGGCUGGUGGAAUGAUCAUCCCCUGAAACCUUGCCUCUCACCAUGCGAGGGGACAGAGCGUGUCCUGGAGAGUCUCACACUAGCAGUGAGCUGCUCCAGCCAGAAGUGGAGCCUCUCGUCACUCAUUUGGGAGAGCCAGACACACGGAAAGCAGAGCACAGGAACUAUUUGGUGAACAGCCUCGGUGACUCCUGGGGUCUUUGCUGUCUUGAACACACGAGAUACUUUAAACCUUUACCAUGUUCAUGAUCUGUUCCCCAUCAAGAAUUGUUGCUCCACGAGGACAGAGGUCUUUAUCUGUUUUGUUCACAGAUGUGUCUUCAGUGUUCACAGAUGUGUCUUCAGUGUCCAGUACAGGGCUUGCCAAAAGCAUUCAUCAAGCACCUGAAAGAGGAUAUCUACUCCAGGGCCUACAACCUCCUUUAAAGCAAUCCUGGCCUGGAGGUUGGGUGCAGGAGCCCAGGAGUGAAGGGAGAGCCAAGGACCAGAGGCAUCGGAGUCUCCUAUCCAAGUUCUCCGAGGCCUGAGUUCUAGGUGAGGCCACCUUCUCUUGUUCCCAAGCGAUCACAACAGGGCUUCC